CCCUAUUAUUUUAGAAUGUUAAUUUUUAUUGGUGCCUGAGUAGUAUUAGUUAUGUUCUUGAAACUUAAAGAAUUUGGCGGUAUCUCAUUCCGUCCAGAGGAAUCUGUCUCGUUAUCGAUAGUCCGCGUUGGACCUUACUUAGUUUAUAUUUGGUUUGUAUACCGCCGUUUAUUGAUUAUCUUUUUAGAGUUUAUUAAUUUUCUGGUUUCUUUAUUUUGAUAUAUUUCAGGUCAAGGUGCAGCUUAUUUCUAAGUGGAGUGAUGGAUUACAUUGUUAUUUGUUUUGUGGAUUGUUGGGUUUUAAUAUUAGCAUGAAAUUGGAUUUGGUUGUAAUUACUUGUAGAUUGUUGUUGUGAUAAUUGGUUCUGGGAUAUGUACACAUCGCCCGUCGCUCUCGUUUAUUAAUGAGAUAAGUC
rnacentral:rRNA from 1 species